rnacentral:tmRNA from 1 species
GGGGAUGCAUGGCUUCGACGGGGAGGGCUGUUUCAGAGUUGCAAGCAGCGGCGCCUGACCGCUCUAAAACGGGCAGAAGAUAGAUGCGAACACUCGCACCAACCUCGCGGCUCUUCCUGUCGCGGCGUAAGCCAACUCAGGAUUAGCCAACAGGUUCGCCGGCUAGCCCGGCGACGUCCACGCACGGUCUCCCCCAAAGGCCGCGCGCUGGGCGAAACCAACUUGGGGUGCGGCGGUCGCCACGCCGGUAACGAUCGUCAAAGCGGCGCAAGCCAACACGGCUCGGCGUUUCCAACUCUGUCGGACGAGUAAGGGAACGCGAGAUGCUAACGCAAAAAGACCGACUAGGCUUGUAGUAACUCUGGGGCGAACUUUUCGGACGCGGGUUCAAUUCCCGCCAUCUCCACCA